rnacentral:lncRNA from 1 species
GGUCUAGACUCACAGUCUGUAACCUCUGGGAGGAGGUCCAGGAAUGGAACCAUCCGAGAUGGACUCUCUAAUAUUUUCUGGGAGGAAUCAAGGGACUCCAAUGCUGGAAGCAAGGCCCCUGGAGGACCUCAGGGUGGUGCUGACAGCCCUUUGUGACUCAGGGACUCACCGGUGUCCGCCCAGGCAGUUCCCCUUUCCGUCGGCCUCAGGGAACUGCUCAGGAGAUCUUCUCAUGAGAGGAAUCCCGACUGCUCCACAGACAGGUGCCAGCGUUCAGACCCUGAGGCUGCCUCUGGCUCCGCAAGUGUGGAUGUGCCCAGGCAGGUCUCAGGACGGAGCCUCGAGAAGCAGGAAAGGCCGUGUGGAUGGAGCCCCUGGGGACGGAGAGGAGGAGGAAGAUGGACUGGGUCGAGCAGAGGAGUCAUCUGAUUCACCGUACAGGACAGCGUCCAGCCUUCACGCCGGGACGUCCUCCAGGGACGCCGUCGGGAGUCACAGGCUUCAGGAAGGUAGGUGCUUCGUCUGUAACGUCUUUAGCCUGAAAGGAGGCAGCCUUAAGGAAAUCUGGAAUGUAAACAUGAGCCUUUGCCCAGAAAAGAAAGAAACUUAUGGACUUGGAGAACAGACUUGUGGUUGCAGAGGGGGAGGGAGUGGGAUGGACGGGGAGUCUGGGGUUAACAGAUGGAAACUAUUGCCUGUGGAAUAGAAAAGCAAUGAGAUCCUGCUGUGCAGCACAGGGAACUAUGUCCAGUCACUUGGGAUAGACCAUGGAGGAGGAUAAUGUGAGAAAAAGAAAUUAUAUAUGAUUGAGUCACUUUGCUGUACAGUAGAAAUGGACAGAAUACUAUAAAUCUACUACAAUGGAAACAAUAAAAAUACUAAAUUUAACA